ACCUCUCUUUUCUUUCUUCGUCUUGACUUUGAAUUGGAAGCGAUUACUCCCAUGAAAUUAAAUCAAUCGGAAACAGCGUACUCUCAAAGUUUAUAGAUCUGAUGUAGGACAAGAUCGAGAUCUCUCUAAUUUUGUAGAUCAGAGACCACAAGAAUAAUUAGUAGUAGAAGGGGCACCGAACGGGACGACGAAUAAGGCAUAAAGCUCCCUCCGCCGCUGCCACCACCAACUACGACAUCAUCAUAUCAAAGACAAUCGUCGCAAGGAAUCAUAGCAAAUU